rnacentral:rRNA from 1 species
UACAGAGGCCCCAAGCGUUAGACGGAAUCACUGGGCUUAAAGCGUGUGUAGGCGGUAUGGUAAGUACCUUGUGAAAUCCCACAGCUUAACUGUGGAAAUGCUUGGUAUACUGCCGUUCUUGAGUCACCUAGGGGCAGCUGGAACAGAUGGUGGAGCGGUGAAAUGCAUAGAUAUCAUCUGGAACGCCAAUGGUGCAGACAAGCUGCUGGGGGUGUACUGACGCUGAGGCACGAAAGCCAGGGGAGCAAACGGG